AAGGCGCAUGGUGGAUGCCUUGGCUCUCAAUGGCGAUGAAGGACGUGAUAAGCUGCGAUAAGCUUCGGGGAGGUGCACAUAACCUUUGAUCCGAAGAUUUCCGAAUGAGACAACUCAUCCAGGGUCUGCCUGGAUAUCCGAUAGGAGGCUAACCCGGAGAACUGAAACAUCUAAGUACCCGGAGGAAAAGAAAACAAUAGUGAUUCCCCAAGUAGUGGCGAGCGAACGGGGAGAAGCCCAAACCGUUGUUGUUAAGGCAACAGCGGGGUUGUAGGACUGCAACGUGUAUGUUUAUUCGAAGUUGAAGCUUUUGGAAAAAAGCCCCAUAGACGGUGAUAGGCCGGUAAACGUAACAAUAAUCAUGCUAGCAGUAUCCUGAGUACCGCGAGGUCGGAGACGCCUUGUGGGAAUCAGCCGGCACCAUCCGGUAAGGCUAAAUACUCCUGAGAGACCGAUAGCGAACCAGUACUGUGAAGGAAAGGUGAAAAGAACCUCGAACAGAGGAGUGAAAUAGAACCUGAAACCGUGUGCUUACAAGCGGUCGGAGUCCCUUCGUGGGAUGACGGCGUGCCUUUUGCAUAAUGAGCCUACGAGUUACUCCUCACUGGCAAGGUUAAGGACCCAAGGUCCGGAGCCGAAGCGAAAGCAAGUCUGAAUAGGGCGCAUAGUCAGUGGGGGUAGACGCGAAACCUUGUGAUCUACACAUGGGCAGGAUGAAGGAUGGGUAACACCAUCUGGAGGUCCGAACUGGUGAGCGUUGAAAAGCUCUCGGAUGACCUGUGUGUAGGGGUGAAAGGCUAAUCAAACUGGGAAAUAGCUCGUACUCCCCGAAAUGUCUUUAGGGACAGCGUCGAUUGAAUUGUCAUAGAGGUAGAGCUACCGAUAGGGCUAGGGGGCUUCACCGCCUACCAAACCCUGACGAACUCCGAAUGCUAUGUACAAAUGAUCGGCAGUGAGGCCUGGGGUGCUAACGUCACAGGCCGAGAGGGAAAGAACCCAGACCAUCAGCUAAGGCCCCAAAGUCUGCGCUAAGUUGAUCAAACGUGGUCCGGUUGCAUUGACAGCUAGGAUGUUGGCUUGGAAGCAGCCAUUCAUUUAAAGAGUGCGUAACAGCUCACUAGUCGAGCGACCGGGCGUGGAUGAUAAUCGGGCAUCAAGUGCAGCGCCGAAGCUAUGGCAACAUAGCAAUAUGUUGGGUAGGGGAGCAUUCUAACCAGCGCCGAAGGUUCUUCGUAAGGAGGGCUGGAGCGGUUAGAAAAGCAAAUGUAGGCAUAAGUAACGAUAAGACGGGUGAGAAACCCGUCCACCGUAAGACUAAGGUUUCCUGAUCAACGCUAAUCGAAUCAGGGUUAGUCGGGGCCUAAGGCUAAUCCGAAAGGAAAUGCCGAUGGAUAACAGGUUAAUAUUCCUGUACCGGCAUAGGUCGUUAUUACCGAUGGGGGGAAGCGGGAGGAAGAGCCAUCGCACUAUUAGAUGUGCGUCCAAGUCAUCAGGUGGCAUGUAGGAAAAUCCGCAUGCGGAAUCCUGGUGGUGACGGGGAGCGCCUUGUGCGCGAAGUGGCUGGACUGACCGUCGAGAAAAACCUCUAGGGAGACUGAAGCCGUCCGUACCAAAACUGACACAGGUGGGUGAGGUGAAUAUCCUAAGGCGCUCGAGAGAACUGUUGUCAAGGAACUCGGCAAAUUGACCCCGUAACUUCGGGAUAAGGGGAACCCUCGGGGGUGUCAAAGCUCCUGGGGGUCGCAGAGAAUUGGCCCAACCGACUGUUUACUAAAAACACAGGUCUGUGCAAAGUCGUAACGACGAUGUAUACGGACUGACGCGUGCCCAAUGCUGGAAGGUUAAGAGGACGGGUUAGCGCAAGCGAAGCUCGGAAUUGAAGCCCCAGUGAAUGGCGGCCGUAACUAUGACGGUCCUAAGGUAGCGAAGUUCCUUGUCGGGUAAGUUCCGACCCGCAUGAAUCGCGUAACGAGUUGGGCUCUGUCUCGACAGCAGACUCGGCGAACCUGUAGCCGUGGUGAAGAUGCCACGUUCCCGCGCCUAGACGGAAAGACCCCGUGAACCUUUACUAUAGCCUGAUAUUGAGGCUUGUCCUGACGUGCGUAGCAUAGGUGGGCUAUCGUGACUGGGAA
rnacentral:rRNA from 1 species